UCCUGGCUUAGGACGGACGCUGGCGGCGUGCCUAAUACAUGCAAGUCGAGCGAAUGACAAGGAGCUGCUCCUUGAUUAGCGGCGGACGGGUGAGUAACACGUGGGUAACCUACCCUAUAGACUGGGAUAACUUCGGGAAACCGGAGCUAAUACCGGAUAAUACUUCGAAACACAUGUUUUGAAGUUGAAAGAUGGUUUCGGCUAUCACUAUAGGAUGGACCCGCGGCGCAUUAGCUAGUUGGUGGGGUAAUGGCUCACCAAGGCAACGAUGCGUAGCCGACCUGAGAGGGUGAUCGGCCACACUGGGACUGAGACACGGCCCAGACUCCUACGGGAGGCAGCAGUAGGGAAUCUUCCACAAUGGACGAAAGUCUGAUGGAGCAACGCCGCGUGAAGUGAAGAAGGAUUUCGGUUCGUAAAACUCUGUUGCAAGGGAAGAACAAGUAGCGUAGUAACUGGCGCUACCUUGACGGUACCUUGUUAGAAAGCCACGGCUAACUACGUGCCAGCAGCUGC
rnacentral:rRNA from 1 species